rnacentral:rRNA from 1 species
AGCAGCCGCGGUAAUUCCAGCUCCAAUAGCGUAUAUUAAAGUUGUUGCAGUUAAAAGCUCGUAGUUGAAUUUCGGGAUCAAGUCGUCGGUCGUGCUCAGGUACGUACUGGCGUCAUUGAUUUCUCCCUUCUGACGAACCAUGAUGUCAUUAAUUUGGUGUUAUGGGAAAUCAGGACUGUUACUUUGAAAAAAUUAGAGUGUUUAAAGCAGGCUCACGCUUGAAUACAUUAGCAUGGAAUAAUGAAAUAGGACGUUCGAUCCUAUUUUGUUGGUUUUAGGAUCAACGUAAUGAUUAAUAGGGAUAGUUGGGGGCAUUAGUAUUCAAUUGUCAGAGGUGAAAUUCUUGGAUUUAUUGAAGACUAACUACUGCGAAAGCAUUUGCCAAGGAUGUUUUCAUUAAUCAAGAACGAAAGUUAGGGGAUCGAAGACGAUCAGAUACCGUCGUAGUCUUAACCAUAAACUAUGCCGACUAGGGAUCGGAUGAUGUUAAUUUUUUAAUGACUCAUUCGGCGCCUUACGG